CAGAGUGGUUUAACCUGAGCAGUGACAGGAGACUGUUUUGGCCUAUUUUGGACUGCAUCUGUAAAUGCAGAGCUGUGUGGCUUGCUGGGCAGAGAGCACCGUUCCUCUCAGGAAGAUGUUGUGGCUGACAGCAUUAGGUUGUAAUAAUGGCUAAGUACUAUGGGAGAAGCUCAGCUUUUCGGGUAAGAUGGCCAAACAAACAUUCCUUGAAGUUUUCAGGAAAAGGGAAGCACUGGAGGGAAGCAUAGAUGAGAUGAGGGCCACCAGCCAGACGCUCUGACCUAACAUGUGAAUGCACACAACUGUGAAUGCACACAACUUCCUUGCAUCGAGCAGACUGCCAUCACGCAGCUGACUGUAACCUUCUAAGUCUCUCUAGCAACACCUACUGAAAUAAGACUCACUGGAAUUUGCUCUUCUACACUGAAAAUCAGCACUGCAGUGUGGUGGGGAAAAACUUCCUGCCAUCAUUUACCUCAAGCUCUGACACUGAAAGGGAGAAGGAAUGAGAGGGAACAAAUAAUUGCCUACAUUUAAAGCAGUGAAACAGAAUGGAGAUGAACACAGAAGUGAAUAGGAGGCAGCUUUGCAGAGGGAAAUAACAGAGUGUUAUGCAUUGCACAAGUUCUGCAACAUGUAUCUCAGCAGAAAGAGUAAGUCUCUGUCUUCUCCAUUAGGAGAUACAGUAUAACUCCUGAGAAUGAAGAUUAUUAUGCUCUUCUCUAACACUUCAAAUUUGACUUAGCAUCAUGUUCUAAUACAUGUUUUUGUGACAAUUGUAUUACUUAAAUCAACUUAUCUUUUUCUGUUGAACUGCUUAUCUAGAAGUCAUAAACUAUGGAAAAAGCAAAAUGAUGUAUCUUUGAAUAUACAUUUUAUUAAAAUAUUUCCUAAAAU